CCUACGGGAGGCAGCAGUGAGGAAUAUUGGUCAAUGGACGCAAGUCUGAACCAGCCAUGCCGCGUGCAGGAAGACGGCUCUAUGAGUUGUAAACUGCUUUUGUACGAGGGUAAACGCAGAUACGCGUAUCUGUCUGCAAGUAUCGUACGCAUAAGGAUCGGCUAACUCCGUGCCAGCAGCCGCGGUAAUACGGAGGAUUCCAGCGUUAUCCGGAUUUAUUGGGUUUAAAGGGUGCGUAGGCGGUUUGAUAAGUUAGAGGUGAAAUCUCGAGGCUCAACUUCGGAAUUGCCUCUGAUACUGUGCGGCUAGAGAGUAGUUGCGGUAGGCGGAAUGUAUGGUGUAGCGGUGAAAUGCUUAGAGAUCAUACAGAACACCGAUUGCGAAGGCAGCUUACCAAGCUACUUCUGACGCUGAGGCACGAAAGCGUGGGGAGCAAACAGGAUUAGAUACCCCUGUAGUC
rnacentral:rRNA from 1 species